rnacentral:rRNA from 1 species
UACGUAGGGGGCAAGCGUUGUCCGGAUUUAUUGGGCGUAAAGAGCGUGUAGGCGGCCAGACAGGUCCGUUGUGAAAACUCGAGGCUCAACCUCGAGACGCCGAUGGAAACCGUCUGGCUAGAGUCCGGAAGAGGAGAGUGGAAUUCCUGGUGUAGCGGUGAAAUGACGCAGAUAUCAGGAGGAACACCGGUGGCGAAGGCGGGUCUCUGGGCCGAUACUGACGCUGAGGAGCGAAAGCGUGGGGAGCGAACAGG